ACCCCCACUGUCAUUCCUGCUGCCCACCCCCUGCACCCUUUCCAGGCUGGCUAGCUGGCUUUGAGGGAAGAGCAGCCCCUGGGUGAAUAUGCCUGCCCCCAGGAUUCCCAUCAGUUACAGUUCAGUUACCAGGAACUUCUCUCUGCUGCCCUGCAGCUCUGUGUAGCGGUCAACCGCAUGCAGGGUCCUGAACACACACUCACCCAAUUGCUAUGAAGGUUUCAGCCUGGAAUCUGGAGGAAAACAGUGCAAGUCAUCUGGAAUUUUCUUUCCCUAGGACUCGUUCCUGGUAUGGUAAAGAAGUGUCUGUCCUUCAUUCUUUUGACCUGCUUUUCUUCUUUGAAGACGACAUGCACAACAGACUCAGGCCUCGGAGAUGAGAGAGGACAAGAAGGAGUUUGCCACCGUCUGCCACGAACAAGAUGUCUCUGAGAUGCUGUGUCCCCAGCCUGCCAGAGCACCGGGCCCCAGCGCCGUCCCCAUCACAUCCAGAAAGGAUUGGAGUUGGAGUUCCAGGCCUAGCCAGAUGGGGAAACUGAGGCCCAAGAGGUAACAAGCUUGGCCGAGAUCACACAGCACACGUGAUUCGAGCUGCUGCUUUUAGGCUCCCCACUGUUCCCCGGAGCUUUCCGACCUACUUUGACCUAGGUAUAGAGUGACCCACGAGCCAGCUCAAAUAUCGCCACCCCCAUGACUCUGUCAUAUUAGCCCUUUUUUAUUUACUUCAUGGUACUUAGCACUCUCUGAAAUGAUCUUAUUUAUGUACUUGCUUAUUUGUGUCGGUCUCCCCCUGCUAGAAUGUAAACUCCAGGAGGGCAAGGAGCCCAGUCUCGUAGCACACAGUUUGUCUGCCGGUGCACAGCAGGUGCUAAUAAACAAAUGCCAAAUGGA